rnacentral:misc_RNA from 1 species
UGUAGGAGCUGCCGAAGGCUGCGAUCUUUUGAUCUUGAUCUUUUUAAAAACGAGAUCAAAAGAUCGCAGCCUUCGGCAGCUCCUACA